GAUGAACGCUGACAGAAUGCUUAACACAUGCAAGUCAACUGUGGCGGACGGGUGAGUAACGCGUCAAGAACUUGCCUCACAGCUAGGGACAACAUUUGGAAACGAAUGCUACUACCUGAUACUGUGAGAGAGCUUUGCGUCCCAUUAGCUAGUUGGAGAGGUAACGGCUCACAAAGGCGAUGAUGGGUAGCCGGCCUGGGAGGGUGAUCGGCCACAAGGGGACUGAGACACGGCCAGUAAGCGUACGGGAGGAAGCAGUGGGGAACAGGGGACAAUGGACCAAAGUCUGAUCCAGAAAUUCGGGGUGCAAGAUGAAGUUUUCGGAAUGUAAAGUGCUGUCAGUUGGGAAGCGGUACCAACAGAAGAAGGGACGGCUAAAUACGUGCCAGCAGCCGCGGUAAUUC
rnacentral:rRNA from 1 species